AGGUUAAGCUAGAAAGGGCGCACGGUGGAUGCCUUGGCACUAGGAGCCGAUGAAGGACGGGGCAAACGCCGAAACGCUCCGGGGAGCUGUAAGCAAGCGUCGAUCCGGAGAUGUCCGAAUGGGGGAACCCACUGUCCGUAAUGGGGCAGUAUCCAUGCCUGAAUCCAUAGGGCAUGGAGGGCACACCCGG
rnacentral:rRNA from 1 species